rnacentral:rRNA from 1 species
GAUGAACGCUGGCGGCGUGCCUAAUACAUGCAAGUCGAGCGAGGCAGGGACGGGUGAGUAACACGUGGAUAACCUCCUAUAAGACUGGGAUAACUUCGGGAAACCGUAGCUAAACCGGAUACGUGUAGAUGGAUCCGCGCUGCAUUAGCUAGUUGGUAAGGUAACGGCUUACCAAGGCACCGAUGCAUAGACGACCUGAGAGGGGUAUCGGCCACCCUGGAAUAGAGAAGCGGUCCAGAGGCCUACGGGAUGCAGCAGUAGGGAAUCUGCCGCAAUGGGCGAAAGCCUGACGGAGCAACGCCGCGUGAGUGAUGGAGGUCUUCGGAUCGUAAAACUCUGUUAUUAGGGAAGCGGUACCUAAUCAGAAAGCCACGGCUAACUACGUGCCAGCAGCCGCGGUAAUAC